GCGGUACCGGUUCACGCCCGGGCGUGGCAUUACACGCCCGCGGCGACCCGGCGACC
rnacentral:ncRNA from 1 species